rnacentral:rRNA from 1 species
GACGAACGCUGGCGGCGUGCUUAACACAUGCAAGUCGAACGACGUGGCGAACGGGUGAGUAACACGUGGGUAACCUGCCCUCCUCUUUGGGAUAAGCCUUGGAAACGGGGUCUACUACCGAAUACAGGGGGAUGGGGUCGCGGCCUAUAAGCUGGUUGGUGGGGGGAUGGCCCACCAAGGCGGUGACGGGUAGCCGGCCUGAGAGGGUGACCGGCAACAUGGGGACUGAGAUACGGCCCAGACUCCUACGGGAGGCAGCAGUGGGGGAUAUUGCACAAUGGGCGAAAGCCUGAUGCAGCCAUGCCGCGUGUAUGAAGAAGGCCUUAGGGUUGUAAAGUACUUUCAGCGGGGAGGCGUUACCCGCAGAAGAAGCACCGGCUAACUCCGUGCCAGCAGCCGCGGUAAUAC